UACGAAGGGGGCUAGCGUUGCCCGGAUUUACUGGGCGUAAAGCGCGUGUAGGCGGUUAGAUUAGUCUGCUGUGAAAGCCCCCGGCUCAACUGGGGAGGGUCACGCGAUACUGAUCGACUCGAAGGCAGGAGAGGGAAGUGGAAUUCCCGGUGUAGUGGUGAAAUGCGUAGAUAUCGGGAGGAACACCAGUGGCGAAGGCGGCUUACUGGUCCGGAUCUGACGCUGAGGCGCGAAAGCGUGGGGAGCAAACAGG
rnacentral:rRNA from 1 species